ACAGACUCUGAGAUCCUCUGCUGAGUCGCUUGCCUCUCUGCAGACUGUUUCUGUGAAACAGCCCUGUUUCCGGGAGAAUUGCAUCCAUCUCUUUUCUUUACAUGUGUUUUGUGCUCUGGCCACUGUCGGAACUGAAUGAGAAACAGGAUACAAGACAGAGCCAAGAGGCACUCCAGACUGAUCAACCUUCUGGGACACAGCAGGAUGAAGAUGGGUGGAGAGUGGGCCUAAGUCACAUAGAAAGGAUAUUCUAUGUAUUCUGAGGUUCAAGGGGCCAUUAACCCUGCUUCCUUCUUUACCCUCUUUCCUUAGAGGGAACCACCGAACAGGAAUGGUAAGGAAAAUCCUGCCCAGGACACUGUUGUCCUAAGAGAAAGCCACACAGGACAGGACAGACCUGGCAGUCCACGAAUCUUUGCAUUCUGCCUCUUGGAGGCAGUCUUCAGCUGUUUGUCCCCUUACUGGAGCCGUACUCGAGAGGAGUGCUUCUUUCCUCGACAGUAUUUCACAACACCAUGUGUCUGGGCCGCCACAUUGCACAUACCUUGAUGACACAAGUUGUGCCUGGCUUCUUGAAUGCUUCCGGAGCCUUGCCACGGUCUGGCAUAAGAUAAGUGCUGAAUGCAAGGAUCAAGGAAUGCCUGAAUAUUUCAAUGAGAGCGUGCUAAGAAUUUAGUCUGUUGAAGUUUUUCAAUAAUCCCACAAGGUGGCAGCAGCUACCAGGGUUCAUUUUUCUUAUGGGUGGAA